rnacentral:rRNA from 1 species
CCUACGGGAGGCAGCAGUAGGGAAUUUUGCGCAAUGGGCGAAAGCCUGACGCAGCAACGCCGCGUGAUCGAGACGCCCUUCGGGGUUUGAAGAUCUGUCAGUGGGGGCGAUACUUGACGGUACGCGCAGAGGAAGCACCGGCUAACUCCGUGCCAGCAGCCGCGGUAAUAAGGGGGGUGCAAGCGUUGUCCGGAAUCAUUGGGCGUAAAGAGUUCGUAGGCGGCACGUAAAGUCUGGUGUUAAAGGCAGAGGCUCGACUUCUGUACGGCACUGGAUACUUGCGAGCGAGAAUGCGGGAGAGGGAAAGGGAAGUCCUGGUGUAGCGGUGAAAGGCGGAGAUAUCAGGAGAAACAGCGGGGGCGGAAGCGCUUGACUGGGCCGUAAUGGACGCUGAGGAACGAAAGCCAGGGUAGCAAAUGGGAGUAGAUACCCUGGUAGUC